CCUACGGGAGGCAGCAGUGGGGAAUCUUGCGCAAUGGGCGAAAGCCUGACGCAGCCAUGCCGCGUGAAUGAUGAAGGUCUUAGGAUUGUAAAAUUCUUUCACCGGGGACGAUAAUGACGGUACCCGGAGAAGAAGCCCCGGCUAACUUCGUGCCAGCAGCCGCGGUAAUACGAAGGGGGCUAGCGUUGCUCGGAAUUACUGGGCGUAAAGGGAGCGUAGGCGGAUAGUUUAGUCAGAGGUGAAAGCCCAGGGCUCAACCUUGGAAUUGCCCUUGAUACUGGCUAUCUUGAGUACGGAAGAGGUAUGUGGAACUCCGAGUGUAGAGGUGAAAUUCGUAGAUAUUCGGAAGAACACCAGUGGCGAAGGCGACAUACUGGUCCGUUACUGACGCUGAGGCUCGAAAGCGUGGGGAGCAAACAGGAUUAGAUACCCUGGUAGUCCACGCUGUAAACGAUGAGUGNUAGUGUCGCGAUGCAUGCAUGUCGGUGACGCAGCUACGCAUAAGUACACUCCGCCGUCGGGAGGUACGGUCGCGAGAGUAAACGUACGUAAAGUUAAGUUAGUACGGCGUUGAGACGUUGCGACGGACGACGACGAGGGAGGAGG
rnacentral:rRNA from 1 species